rnacentral:tRNA from 1 species
GUCGGUAUAAUUUAACAAAAAUAUUAGAUUGUGAUUCUAAAAACAGGGGUUAGACCCCCCUUACCUACC